rnacentral:piRNA from 1 species
UCNGAGAAGACCUCUACAGGAAAGCUGG